rnacentral:lncRNA from 1 species
CUCAUCCGAUAGUUAUUGGCCUCAUUCCUUAAUUAAGUUAGAUCCACCAUUCUUGCGUAAGUGAAGACAUCAUUAGAUCCUUCACCUAAUAAUUAUUGGUUACAACCCCAUCUCCACUCUGAACAUCUCAAAUUAAUAGAGUGGUUGCACUUUUGAAAUGUAAUUGAACUACUAUAUCUAGUCGAGAAUAAUCAACAUCAGUAGAGCAUCCGCAUAUUUACAAUGACGGAAGAUUGCUUAACUUAAUAUCUAUGAGAAGAUUUAAUUUAGGUUUCGUUGUUUGUAAUUGUUUAUUUACAUCCAAUGUAAAUCCAUAAUUAAUGGAUCUACUUGAGAGAUCCUAGCUUGGUUCACUAAGACCGGACUCAUGGUGCAAAGCAAAUGUAAUGAACUUAACACGAAGCACUCCAAAAUAGAAUUUGAUCAACCAGACAAUCAGGUAAGUGCAAGAUUUGUGGGAGGCUCCCUAUGCUUUCACAAUAGUCCUAACUAAGUAACCACCAUUCUUUUGAUCAACCAGACGAUCAGGUAAGUGCAAGAUUUGUGGGAGGCUCCCUAUGCUUUCACAAUAGUCCUAAUUAAGUAACCACCAUUCUUGAAAUACUUAGACACC